rnacentral:rRNA from 1 species
UGCCAGCCGCCGCGGUAAUACGAAGGGACCUAGCGUAGUUCGGAAUUACUGGGCGCAAAGCGCGCGUAGGCGGAUAUUUAAGUCGGAUGUGAAAGCCCCGGGCUCAACCUGGGAAUUGCAUACGAUACUGGGUAUCUUGAGUACAGUAGAGGGGGGUGGAAUUUCCGGUGUAGCGGUGAAAUGCGUAGAGAUCGGAAGGAACACCAGUGGCGAAGGCGACCCCCUGGACUGAUACUGACGCUGAGGUGCGAAAGCGUGGGGAGCAAACAGGAUUAGAUA